CUAGAGGCUGCAUUUCAGUGGCCAUUGUGCUGGAAAUGAAGAAGCAUGACUAAACCAAGAGGAACAAAAUGCCUGUACGACAGAAACAUUAGUGACAAACAAUUAAGCACAGACUAGCAUCUGUCGAAACUAAUAUUUUGCUGCAAGAAGCAAAAUGUAUGUAUAACAAUAUGAGUAAAAAAAAUUAGGGGCCUUCCCUACCAUUUUUUUUGUUAAAAACAAUAUCAGUAAAAGAAGCCACACUAGCCAUGGUUCAAGAACACAAUGGAAUUGGUUGGACCAAAAUUUCUAUAUAAUAAGAGAAGCAUACAUGGGCAAUGGUUGAAGCAAAAGUUUACUAUCAUGGAAACAUAUACAAAAAAAAGGUUCACUGGAAUGUAUGUACAACAAGUUCAGUAAAGAAGCAACACCGAUCGUGGUUGAAGUCGCUAAUACUGAUUGAAGUACAAACAAAUAUUGGUUGCAGCAGAAUGUAUAUACAAUAAAAUAAGGGCACAUUGGCAAGCAAUGGCUGAAGCAUAAAUUCACAACCAUGGAUAUCUAUGCAAGAAAUAAGGAUAAAAAGCAGGGAGGCCAACCUCAGUACAAGCUCGACAGGAGUUAGAUACCUUGCUACCUUCCAUGUGCUGCUUGUAAUCCGAGAACAUAACCAUGCAACAUAGGUUCAAAAAUCCGUUGAAUAAAUACCAAAAAAUGGGGGAGAUCUCUAGAAUGCUUACAGGAAAUGUUUACAACAAAAAAGCAAAAAGAAGAAGCAGUUUUCAUGGAAGCAACUAUUUAAACAGGAGAAGCAUAUGAACUAAAUUCAGAAUUACCAUCAUAAGUAUGAUCUCAACCUGACCCAUAUUAGAUGGGAGCAUAGAAUUUAAACUACAAGAUCUGAACAUAAAGGAACCAUAAGCUAGCAGAAGAGAUGAGAGAUGAAGGAAGAUUUCGUACAGAGUAACGAGGGUCUUGUUGUCGUUGUGAUGAAAGAAGACAUCCAGGAACCUACAGCAGCAACCUUCGCCGCCGCUGGUGAGCCUCCCCUUGUCCUGGUGUGCGGUUGUUGAAGGCCAACACAGAGUGCUAGAUCGGCGACGGCGCAGCAGCGUGGCGAUGAAUGAGCAUAAUCUGGGCAAGAUCUUUACCUGGGAUUAGGGCGGAAGAAGUGUACCGCAGAGAACGGCAGGGAGGUGGGCUUGUCGACGACUCGAUGGAGAAUGGCGUACCUGUGAUCUGGAUCGGAAGUGCGGAAUAGACGGGAGCGACGGGCCUGGAGGAAGAGGAUGCGGGGUUGUGGGAGGUGGAAGCAGCAGUUUUUUUUUUGACAGAAAAGGUGGAGGCAGCAGAUUAACUCUAUGGUGGAGGACCAGCGCGAGAAAUUAGGGAAGAUUUAUGGG
rnacentral:lncRNA from 1 species